GUGAUUAUAUACUUUUAGGGCAAUGACUAAUACAUCUGAAGCACUUUCCAUAAUUUGGUUUAGAAACCAAUUAGUCAGAUUGCAAUGAUAUUCCAACAGAUAUAUGUGAAUAUCGAAAUCCAUACACCAUGUAAAUUGGCCUAUAUUUACCUUAUCAUAUGUCUUGCUCCAAGCUGAGUAGAGUUGAACAAGUUCUUCUUGAGUAGUGUUGGCAUUUAAUUGUUUAACAUGACCAUAUCCGUCAUAACUUUCUCCACUCAUUAUAUAAACAAAGUUGAGUCAAAUAAUAAUGGAUCACUGACCUAAUGUGCAUGCUAGAUUAUGAUCAGUUAUUUGAAAGUCUAAGGUAACGUUGACUUCAUGAGCACAAUCACGCGUGACGAUCGGUUGAUCGGUCAAGGCUAUUUCAAAUAUGUCAGAGCACCUUGUCACCGGGCUUUCUCUGAC